AUGAGGAGGAGGUUUUCGGCCUGAAAUGCACCAACAGCCUUGUCCUCGUGUGGCCCGCUGGCCUCUGCGUGGUCACCUUCCGGCCAACCGGAGGAGCCCAGGAGACCCGGGUCACCCGACUCACCUCCCUUCGGCGCCUCGUCACGGCCGUCGGCUUCGAGGGUCCCACGGCGUCGCUGACCACCCGGACUGUCGAAGCCUGGAAU